AUGAUGCGAUCAAUCGAGGCAUUUGUAUGACCGUGACGAUGA
rnacentral:snoRNA from 1 species